rnacentral:rRNA from 1 species
UUUAGUUUUAUUGGGCAUUCGGUGGAUGCCUUGGCAUCAAGAGCUGAUGAAGGACGUUGCGGCCUGCGAUAUGCCUCGGGGAGCUGGCGAGCGAGCGUUAUUAUCCGAGGGUGUCCGAAUGGGGGAACCUAACCUGGGUUGUGCUGGGUUACCAUCAUCUGAACGUGUAUAGGGUGGUGGGGGGAACGCGGGGAAGUGAAACAUCUCAGUACCCGCAGGAAAAGAUAUUCCGUGAGUAGUGGCGAGCGAAAGCGGAGGAGGCUAAACCAGAUGCGUGUGAGAGGCGGCGGCCGUUGCGUGUUUGGUGUUGUGGGGCCAUGCUGGAUCCUUCUGCCGGGGGAUCGCGCCACAAGUUGUUGGGAGUUGAACAGUCUGGGAAGUCUGACCGUAGAGCGUGAGAGUCGUGUAAACGGACCGAUGGCGUGUGGUGUGGGUGUGGUACCCGAGUAGCGCGGGACUCGUGAAAUCUCGUGUGAAUCUGCCAAGACCACUUGGUAAGCCUAAAUACUACUUGAUGACCGAUAGUGCAUAGUACCGUGAGGGAAUGGUGAAAAGUACCCCGGGAGGGGAGUGAAAUAGUACCUGAAACCGUGUGCCUGUAAGCCGUCAGAGCCUUGUGGGGUGAUGGCGUGCCUUUUGAAGAAUGAGCCUGCGAGUUAGUGAUACGUGGCGUGCUUAACCCGUGUGGGGUAUGCGUAGCGAAAGCGAGUCUGAAAGAUGGCGUUUGUCGCGUGUUCUAGACCCGAAGCGGGGUGAUCUACCCAUGGUCAGGUUGAAGCAGAGGUAAGACUGUGUGGAGGACCGAACCCACCAGGGUUGAAAACCUGGGGGAUGAACUGUGGGUAGGGGUGAAAGGCCAAUCAAACUCCGUGAUAGCUGGUUCUCCCCGAAAUGCAUUUAGGUGCAGCGUUGCGUGGUCCCUGGUGGAGGUAGAGCUACUGGAUGGCCGAUGGGCCCUGUGGGUUACUGACGUCAGCCAAACUCCGAAUGCCAUUAGGUGUAGCGUGGCAGUGAGACUGCGGGGGAUAAGCUUCGUAGUCGAGAGGGAAACAGCCCAGAUCAUCAGCUAAGGCCCCUAAGCGUGCGCUAAGUGGGAAAGGAUGUGGAGUCGCGGUGACAACCAGGAGGUUGGCUUAGAAGCAGCCAUCCUUGAAAGAGUGCGUAAUAGCUCACUGGUCAAGUGGUUCUGCGCCGACAAUGUAGCGGGGCUCAAGCGUACCGCCGAAGCUGUGGCAGCAACACGCGAUUCUGGCGCCAGGAACUGGAGUGCUGGUGUGUUGUUGGGUAGGGGAGCGUCCUGCAUGAGGUGAAGCCUGGAGGUGACUUCUGGUGGAUUGUGUGGGAGUGAGAAUGCAGGCAUGAGUAACGAAUCUGCGGUGGGAAUCCGCAGCGCCGAUUGACUAAGGGUUCCAGGGCUAGGUUUAUCCGCCCUGGGUUAGUCGGGUCCUAAGGCGAGGCCGACAGGCGUAGUCGAUGGACAACCAGUUGAUAUUCUGGUACCAGGUUGUGACCGCCCAUGCUGAGGUCAUUGUGCUAACCAAUCUGCCCUCCGCGCUCUGGUCCUUCGGGAUUGGGGUUGUGUGUGGGUCUUGGGGUCCCGGUGAUGGUAGGCAAGCGUGUUAACAGGGGUGACGCAGACAGGUAACUGCAGUGCGCCGAUGGUUGUGCGUAUUUAAGGUUGUGGCCCGCCCUUCAGGUAAAUCCGGGGCAUAAUGGGUGAGGACUGAUGAGGGACACACGCGUGUGUGGACUUGUGGUGAUCCUAUGCUGCCGAGAAAAGCCUCGACGUGAGGGCAUGACCUGCCCGUACCCUAAACCGACUCAGGUGGUCAGGUAGAGUAUACCGAGGCGUUCGAGUGAAUCGUGGUUAAGGAACUCGGCAAAAUUCCUCCGUAACUUCGGGAUAAGGAGGACCCCGUGACUUGCUCCCACCGUGCGUGGGUGUUGGGUUGUGGGGUCGCAGAGAAUAGGGAGAAGCGACUGUUUAUCAAAAACACAGGUGCGUGCGAAGCCGUAAGGCGAUGUAUACGCACUGACGCCUGCCCGGUGCUGGAAGGUUAAGAGGAACCGUUAACAUUCUUUGUGGGUGUGAAGCGGUGAAUUUAAGCCCCAGUAAACGGCGGUGGUAACUAUAACCAUCCUAAGGUAGCGAAAUUCCUUGUCGGGUAAGUUCCGACCUGCACGAAUGGCGUAACGACUUCUCCGCUGUCUCAACCGCGAACUCGGUGAAAUUGCAGUACGAGUAAAGAUGCUCGUUUCGCGCAGAAGGACGGAAAGACCCCGGGACCUUUACUAUAGCUUGGUA